AUGGUUUUCCUUUUUUUUCAAGUAUUUUAUAAUUUUUUAUUCUCCACUCUAAACAGUUCACUUCAAUAUCUCUUACACAAAAGCAACUCCCAAGGGCGUUCUGAAGCUUACGAAAGUGGAAGGCCUAAACAUCUAUCAUCUAAAGAUUCAUUUGCAGAUACUACUUUAGGGUUAUUUCGCCACUUCACUGAAAAUGAAACCAAACAUCUCUUCUUCUUUUCUUUGUUGAACAGAAGUACCGACACACAAAGUAUAUUCCAUAGAUCAAAGAAGAGUAAAUGUGUAUAUCGCACAAUUCAAAGGUUAAAAUAUUGUUCUGCUAAAUACCCCCAUCAUCUCAGUAGUUUGUGGGUCAUUACGAUCAGCAUUUACGAUUUGCAUCAAAGUUUUCUAUGCAUGCAAACAAAACUACUCUGA
rnacentral:rRNA from 1 species